UUUUGUUCUAAUUUGUUCAUAAUGUUGUUUCCUUCCUCUGUUUCUUUCUCUAGUACACAAAGAAUGUCAGGGUGACGUGUUUCAAAAUCCAGCAUACUUCAAGGUUGCUUGCAGAACUGAAGGAAUGGAAGAAGUGACCGCAAACUGAGGGCAAAGUUUCAAACACUGAAGUGACUUCGAGGUCACGAGAAACCGCAUUUGUAGAACCACAUGUGCAGUUUCACCAAACGGCAGUGAAUGUCUACAGUGUGAUCGACUGAUGUGUUUGCCGUUUAAGAUGCUGGUUGGGGGCAGGGGUGGGACACCGGCCAGCAUUUCUAUUCAAGACCCUUUGAGUGAUGUGACUCUUCCUUAUAUAAUGUCUCUGAUAUAACCUUUUCAUCAGUUUCAGUGUAAUUACAUGAUUUAGUACAUUUUGAUUUUAAAUGCAUGUGCUGUAUGUUUAUAAUACAAUGCAAACCCAAAUGUUUCUUGUAUGUGAGGUGUGUCUUUCACUGAAAUACUAACCUAUCAGAUUUUAUCAAACACAGUCACAUGGU